UACGGGGGGGGCAAGCGUUGUUCGGAAUUACUGGGCGUAAAGGGCUCGUAGGCGGCCAACUAAGUCCGACGUGAAAUCCCAAGGCUUAACCUUGGAACUGCGUCGGAUACUGGUUGGCUUGAAUUCGGGAGAGGGAUGCAGAAUUCCAGGUGUAGCGGUGAAAUGCGUAGAUAUCUGGAGGAAUACCGGUGGCGAAGGCGGCAUCCUGGACCGGCAUUGACGCUGAGGAGCGAAAGCCAGGGGAGCAAACGGG
rnacentral:rRNA from 1 species